rnacentral:lncRNA from 1 species
CUAGGAAUCAUUUGAGAGUUCAGACUUCUAUAAAUAGCAUCAGAAUGGACAUACCUGCCCACAUGUUUCAUUUCUUAACCCUUUGAUACAGUGUGAUGAUAAACAAUGUGGUAAUAUUUUAAGGUAAUUUAUUUUGAAAAAGAUCUCUGGACCUAGAUGUAGCUCCAAAUUUAUUAUCCUUUGCUUUCUUAGGGAACAUUCACAGGAAUUGUUACAGUGUUACCAUAUUACAAAGAAUGUGUAAUUUUAGCAAAACAACAAAGGAUUUCCUAUUCUUUUUAAAGUUGUGAUAUGUCAAGAAUAUGCACUACCAAAAAAAACCUACUAAUUUAAAAAAAACUUUACUAAAGAAAAUAAUAAGAUUGUCCCUGGAUCCCCAGAAUGAACUUUUCCACUUCUCAAUCCAAAAAUGAAAAAAAGAAAGAAAAGAAAUUUGGUAUAAUUCAGCUCAAUGAGUAAUCUGGUAAAGGGAUUCAGAGGAUGAAACGAGCACACACAGAAUUCGUUCUCAUCCUCACAUUGGAGCUUCUUUCCCAGAUCAGAGUUAUUGUGACUGAUAGAAGGGUAUACAGAAGUUCACUUUACCAAAUCCUUGCGUAACUACCUACAUUGAUCAUUAAGUCAACAAUCUCUAAGUACAAUCUUUAAUUUCCAGUGUCGAAAACCUAAUAUUGAAGAUGUGUCCUAAAUAACUGUGUGGUGUUUACAUGACUAACUAGCACAUAAGCCAAUUUAUUUACGUCUGUAGAAUAUAAGAAUAAAAAUUAUAUUUCACAAAGUAAAUCUUCUCA